UUAAGCGACUAAGCGUACACGGUGGAUGCCCUGGCAGUCAGAGGCGAUGAAGGACGUGCUAAUCUGCGAUAAGCGUCGGUAAGGUGAUAUGAACCGUUAUAACCGGCGAUUUCCGAAUGGGGAAACCCAGUGUGAUUCGUCACACUAUCAUUAACUGAAUCCAUAGGUUAAUGAGGCGAACCGGGGGAACUGAAACAUCUAAGUACCCCGAGGAAAAGAAAUCAACCGAGAUUCCCCCAGUAGCGGCGAGCGAACGGGGAGCAGCCCAGAGCCUGAAUCAGUGUGUGUGUUAGUGGAAGCGUCUGGAAAGGCGCGCGAUACAGGGUGACAGCCCCGUACACAAAAAUGCACAUGCUGUGAGCUCGAUGAGUAGGGCGGGACACGUGGUAUCCUGUCUGAAUAUGGGGGGACCAUCCUCCAAGGCUAAAUACUCCUGACUGACCGAUAGUGAACCAGUACCGUGAGGGAAAGGCGAAAAGAACCCCGGCGAGGGGAGUGAAAAAGAACCUGAAACCGUGUACGUACAAGCAGUGGGAGCACGCUUAGGCGUGUGACUGCGUACCUUUUGUAUAAUGGGUCAGCGACUUAUAUUCUGUAGCAAGGUUAACCGAAUAGGGGAGCCGAAGGGAAACCGAGUCUUAACUGGGCGUUAAGUUGCAGGGUAUAGACCCGAAACCCGGUGAUCUAGCCAUGGGCAGGUUGAAGGUUGGGUAACACUAACUGGAGGACCGAACCGACUAAUGUUGAAAAAUUAGCGGAUGACUUGUGGCUGGGGGUGAAAGGCCAAUCAAACCGGGAGAUAGCUGGUUCUCCCCGAAAGCUAUUUAGGUAGCGCCUCGUGAAUUCAUCUCCGGGGGUAGAGCACUGUUUCGGCAAGGGGGUCAUCCCGACUUACCAACCCGAUGCAAACUGCGAAUACCGGAGAAUGUUAUCACGGGAGACACACGGCGGGUGCUAACGUCCGUCGUGAAGAGGGAAACAACCCAGACCGCCAGCUAAGGUCCCAAAGUCAUGGUUAAGUGGGAAACGAUGUGGGAAGGCCCAGACAGCCAGGAUGUUGGCUUAGAAGCAGCCAUCAUUUAAAGAAAGCGUAAUAGCUCACUGGUCGAGUCGGCCUGCGCGGAAGAUGUAACGGGGCUAAACCAUGCACCGAAGCUGCGGCAGCGACGCUUAUGCGUUGUUGGGUAGGGGAGCGUUCUGUAAGCCUGUGAAGGUGUACUGUGAGGUAUGCUGGAGGUAUCAGAAGUGCGAAUGCUGACAUAAGUAACGAUAAAGCGGGUGAAAAGCCCGCUCGCCGGAAGACCAAGGGUUCCUGUCCAACGUUAAUCGGGGCAGGGUGAGUCGACCCCUAAGGCGAGGCCGAAAGGCGUAGUCGAUGGGAAACAGGUUAAUAUUCCUGUACUUGGUGUUACUGCGAAGGGGGGACGGAGAAGGCUAUGUUGGCCGGGCGACGGUUGUCCCGGUUUAAGCGUGUAGGCUGGUUUUCCAGGCAAAUCCGGAAAAUCAAGGCUGAGGCGUGAUGACGAGGCACUACGGUGCUGAAGCAACAAAUGCCCUGCUUCCAGGAAAAGCCUCUAAGCAUCAGGUAACAUCAAAUCGUACCCCAAACCGACACAGGUGGUCAGGUAGAGAAUACCAAGGCGCUUGAGAGAACUCGGGUGAAGGAACUAGGCAAAAUGGUGCCGUAACUUCGGGAGAAGGCACGCUGAUAUGUAGGUGAAGUCCCUCGCGGAUGGAGCUGAAAUCAGUCGAAGAUACCAGCUGGCUGCAACUGUUUAUUAAAAACACAGCACUGUGCAAACACGAAAGUGGACGUAUACGGUGUGACGCCUGCCCGGUGCCGGAAGGUUAAUUGAUGGGGUUAGCGCAAGCGAAGCUCUUGAUCGAAGCCCCGGUAAACGGCGGCCGUAACUAUAACGGUCCUAAGGUAGCGAAAUUCCUUGUCGGGUAAGUUCCGACCUGCACGAAUGGCGUAAUGAUGGCCAGGCUGUCUCCACCCGAGACUCAGUGAAAUUGAACUCGCUGUGAAGAUGCAGUGUACCCGCGGCAAGACGGAAAGACCCCGUGAACCUUUACUAUAGCUUGACACUGAACAUUGAGCCUUGAUGUGUAGGAUAGGUGGGAGGCUUUGAAGUGUGGACGCCAGUCUGCAUGGAGCCGACCUUGAAAUACCACCCUUUAAUGUUUGAUGUUCUAACGUGGACCCGUAAUCCGGGUUGCGGACAGUGUCUGGUGGGUAGUUUGACUGGGGCGGUCUCCUCCUAAAGAGUAACGGAGGAGCACGAAGGUUGGCUAAUCCUGGUCGGACAUCAGGAGGUUAGUGCAAUGGCAUAAGCCAGCUUGACUGCGAGCGUGACGGCGCGAGCAGGUGCGAAAGCAGGUCAUAGUGAUCCGGUGGUUCUGAAUGGAAGGGCCAUCGCUCAACGGAUAAAAGGUACUCCGGGGAUAACAGGCUGAUACCGCCCAAGAGUUCAUAUCGACGGCGGUGUUUGGCACCUCGAUGUCGGCUCAUCACAUCCUGGGGCUGAAGUAGGUCCCAAGGGUAUGGCUGUUCGCCAUUUAAAGUGGUACGCGAGCUGGGUUUAGAACGUCGUGAGACAGUUCGGUCCCUAUCUGCCGUGGGCGCUGGAGAAUUGAGGGGGGCUGCUCCUAGUACGAGAGGACCGGAGUGGACGCAUCACUGGUGUUCGGGUUGUCAUGCCAAUGGCACUGCCCGGUAGCUAAAUGCGGAAGAGAUAAGUGCUGAAAGCAUCUAAGCACGAAACUUGCCCCGAGAUGAGUUCUCCCUGACUCCUUGAGAGUCCUGAAGGAACGUUGAAGACGACGACGUUGAUAGGCCGGGUGUGUAAGCGCAGCGAUGCGUUGAGCUAACCGGUACUAAUGAACCGUGAGGCUUAACCUU
rnacentral:rRNA from 1 species